CAGGCGAAAAGGGUGAUGUGAUAUGUGACGUACCUCGGGGGAAGAGCCAAUAUUCCCCUUAUAUAUUGUCAGGGGUGGGCCCUGUAAAGGCAGGCCCACUACUCUCGAGGUGUUCCCUUCACAGCUGUGGGUGAGCUGUUACGGACGCGUGUCCGGGUCGGCGAUGGGGCGUCCUAUCCCUAACCGUUCGGGUCGGGUGGAGCUCGGAUCGGCCCAAGCCAGCAGAGGGUUUGGGCCGGGCCGUAACAAAUACUAACUAAAAUUUUAACCACAUUAAUUUGUGCAAAUCAACCUUGAAAGUGUCGACUAGUUUUCAAGCGAGAUCUAUACCAUGCGUCUGAUAUUAACAGAUUACAAUCACAUUUGACAAUACAUAGUAUUUUCAUGAGCCAAUCAAACACAAACAUUGUUUACCAGCUAAAGGUCCAACCACAAGUCCACAACUGCUCUCAAUUCUCAUGCACUUAAUCUUUCACUUAAGACGUGACAAUCCCCAACAUUCUUUUCAAAAACCUGAUCUCUCCAACUAGUAGAUAACAUCUUAUUUGAUGCCCACCAAAACAAAGAAACUAGAAGCAAUGUCCAUCACACUGCCUCGUGGCUGCCAGAAAGAUCAAUUCCAGGGCCAGCCAGAGUAUAUAAGUCUAACAUAACAUGCCAGCCAGGCCAAAGCAUUAAAUAACAUUUCUCAAAGCAAACAUAAAAUAGGAUUUUCCAUGAACAGCCGAUUGCUUCAGAGUUCAGAGGGAACAGGACAUAAAAACAAGUGUAUCAUCGAUUUUGUGAAGGCAUUCUUUCUGAUCCGUGCCUCAACUGAAAGCUGCUGGACCUGAAACUUGGCUCUGAUCCGCUGGCAGCCUGGUGGUAUGCUCUCCAACUUGAUUCUCUAUCCACAUGAUUGAAUGAUAAUGAAGGCAAGUGAUCUCUUUCCCAACCUUGGAAGCGACUUGGCAGAUGGGCUUCUUCCGGAAAAUUGCGUCCCGAUGAACCUGAUGGAAUCAAUAAGAAGCCACCGCUUUGGUCUGGUGAUGAGGCCACUUGUGCUAAUUGAGCUGACCCAUUAUGGCUGCUGGACCUUCUAGUGUCAGAGGCAUUAGGAGUCCGCAUUGAGGUAGAAUUAGGAGGUUGUGGAGGUUGAUAGUAUGCCUGAAGAGCCUGGACUCUGUCUCGGGCCCGGGCAUUGCUACCUGGAUAUGGAGGUAUCAUUGAAGAUGCAACUGAUGCCCCAGCUCUAGCACCAGAACUGUGACCAACAAUGAAGGGGCGGUACCUGCAAAGACACUCCGACGCUCAAGUCAGAAUGGAUCAAAGAGGUAGAAAGUGUGAGGAAUGAAUGAAUACCUGGAGGGACCUGGGUCCUCUAUUUAUAGGUGAUGGUGAAUAUCUUAUCUUAUCUUAUUUGGCUAAGAUAAGGGAGACGUUUGAAUUAUCUUAUCUUAUCUUAUCUUAUUUGGCUAAGAUAAGGGAGACGUUUGAAUUAUCUUAUCUUAUCUUAUCUUAUUUGGCUAAGAUAAGGGAGACGUUUGAAUUCGAAAGUUGGUUAGGAGCUCUAGUGGGCUGGUUCCGAGCUUUCUGGAAGGGCGAAGCGGGUCGGACCCUGGUAACCGGGUUCGGGGACCGUUCUGGGUGUAGGAUCCGUGGGCCGGAUCCGUAACAGUUGCCCCCGGAGCGAGAGAGUGAGGGUGCUCGGUCUCAUCGCUGGAGAAACCUUUUCCUCGCCAUUGUGGUUUGGCAAGGAGAUUGUUGUUUGGUUUUUCCGAUCGGGGUCGAGGAUUUGGGGAGUUCCUAGCCGUUUCAUGGUCAGGCGAGGAGCGCGUUGUUUGGGCGUCUCAUCACAUGCCGGGUUUGAUGACCGUUCCGAAGAAGGGCCCGGAGAUUGGGUCUGGAACAGUUGCCCCCGGAGCAUGAGAGUAUGCUUUCUUGGUCUCAAUGCUAAGUCAUUGGAGAGUCCGAUUCUCUGUAGUUCGGGAAACUGUGAGGGGCCUGAAAAGGGCGUGACGUCAUCAUGCACCAAUUGGUAGGAUGUUGGUCAGUAUGGCUUUCCGCGAGUUGGAAGACCGUCAGCUCAUGCUUGUUUUGUGUGGCCUUUUUUGGGCCGUUAUUGUGAACUUAUUUUAGGCCUCUUGGUGGGCCGAUUUUAAGACUUUGUUUAUUUAGCUUAUUUGGAUUCCCGUUUUGUUGGCUUUGCGGGUGAUCGAUUCACGAGUCACUAUUUUUGUUAUUUGGAUAUCCGUUUUAUUGGCCUCGGGUGUUCGAUUCCCGGGUAGCCGUUUACUUAUUUGGAUAUCCGUUUUAUUGGUUUCGGGGUGAUCGAUUCUCGGGUAGCCGUUUACUUAUUUAGAUACCCGUUUUAUUAUUUGGAUAUCCAUUUUGUUGGCCUCGGGGUGAUCGAUUCCCGGGUAGCCGUUUACUUAUUUGGAUAUCCGUUUUAUUGGCUUCGGGGUGAUCGAUUUCCGGGUAGCCGUUUGCUUAUUUGGAUAUCCGUUUUAUUAUUUGGAUAUCCAUUUUGUUGGCCUCGGGGUGAUCGAUUCCCGGGUAGCCGUUUACUUAUUUGGAUAUCCGUUUUAUUGGCUUCGGGGUGAUCGAUUCCCGGGUAGUCGUUUGCUUAUUUGGAUAUCCGUUUUGUUGGCCUCAGGGUGAUCGAUUUCCGGGUAGCCGUUUACUUAUUUGGAUAUCCGUUUUAUUAUUUGGAUAUCUAUUUUGUUAGCCUCGGAGUGAUCGCUUCCCGGGCCGCUAUUUUUUGUUAUUUGGAUACCCGUUUUGUUAUUUGGAUAUCCGUUUUAUUAUUUGGAUAUCCGUUUUAUUGGGAGUGGGUAGACCGAUGUUGUUUUGUCAUAAGACGAGGUCUCCUGGUCCGAAGUCUCGUCGUACCGUGCUGCCAUUGUACCUUAGGCUUAUUCUCUAUUUUAGGGCUAGCUCACGUAGGUGUGCUAUACUCCUGACCUUGUCUGCAAGGCCCUACUUUGCUUCUUUUUCGUUUCCUCCCAUGGUUCUGCGUGAAUUUUGGUGUGCAUCGAGAUCGGAAAGGAAGAUGCCUACCGUGUCUCGGGAUCUCUUGCGUAGGACUAGUGCUGAUGUUGUCGUAUUCUACCACGGUUUUCUGGUCUCUGUGGAUGGUUCCGACGGAGCCAUCUUCUGCCGUGAACUUCAUUAGAAGGUAUUUGGUAAAGAUGACGGCGGAGAGGUCGUUGAUUGUUUUCCUUCCGAGGAUGACGUUAUAAGCGGUGGAGUUCUUGAGGACCACGAACUCGGAAAGGAUUGUCUUCCUCUGGCUUCCCGUCCCUAUGGUAAGGGGAAGAAUGAUGGAACCGUCUGGCUUGAGGAAGUUGUCUCCGAGUCCCAUGACACCGUUGCGGUGUGUUUGGAGAUUUUCGUUGCGGAGCCCGAGCUUGUUGAAGGCACCUCGGAAGAGGAUGUUGGAGUCUGCGCCGGUGUCCACUAGUAUUCUCCGAACUAGUCCUGUUCCGAUUCUCGCCGAGAUGACAAAAGGUGCGUCUUCGGCCGAGGUGCUGUGCUGGCAAUCCUCGGGCAAAAAAGUUAUCGUUUUGUCGGCUGUGGUAGCUGGGGCUUGAUCUCUGACGGCCAAGAAUUUGAGGUCCUUUUUUAGUGUUGAUCUUGACUUGCCUGACACAUCCUUGCCCGUGAUGACAUUUACUACUAUGGCUGGGUCGUCUUCUGGACUUUCCCUGGGAGGUUGUUUUUGUGUUCUCAGGUUGCGUCCUUCCCUCUCAGGCGACUUGUCUUUUUCCGCGCAUUUUGGUUCCCUGAUGAUUUUGGCGAAAUCUGGGGGUUUGCCGUCUCUUAUAGCUUGUUUGAGGGUGUCUUUAAGGUCGAAACAGUCUUGUGUCCUGUGCCCGUAACCUCGGUGGUAGUUGCAGUAAAGGGUCUUGUUGCUGCCCGUUCUUUCUUUGAGUUGUCGGGCUUUUGGGAUAAUACCCCGAUCCGCUAUCUGGUGGUAUAUCUCGGUAAUCGAGGCUGUCAGGGGGGUGUAGUUCGAGAAUUUCCCAAUCCUGGGUGGUCGGUUUGUGUUGGUUUGUUUGGGUUGGUCUCUUUGACUUUCUCUGGGCAUCGGAUUAUGGCGGGAAGUCGGGUUGCCGUGUGGAGUGUUGCCGUGUUGUCGUUUAUUGGCGGCGACGACCUGGCUGAUCUCCUCGUCGUUUAUGUAGUCUCUGGCGAUGUUUUGGAUCUCGUGCAUGGUCCAUACUGGCUUGGUGGUGAGGUGUUUGCGGAAGUCUUCGUUCAUGAGCCCGUUGGUUAAACAGAGGCUUGCGACGAAAUCCGUGAGUCCAUCAAUCGUUAGACAUUCAUCGUUGAAGCGGUCCAGGUAUUUUCGUGUGGAUUCGUCUUGUUUCUAUGUGACCCCUAAUAAGCUGAUGGGGUGUUUAGCUUUGGUAAUUCUGGUGGUGAAUUGGGCCAUAAACUUCCGUGAGAUAUCAUGGAAGCCAGUUAUGGAUCCAUUGGGGAGGGCAUUGAACCAUUUAAUCGUUGGCCCAGCUAGGGUUACUGGGAAGGCCUUACCUCGGACCGCGUCAGCGGCCCCUUCUAGGUUCAUCCUGGCCUUGAAGGCCGUUAGGUGCUCCUGGAAGUCUUUGGUUCCGUCGUACUUCAUAUCCGUAGGUUUGUCGAAGCCUUUAGGGAGUUUUGCUUUCAGGAUUCUUUCAGUGAAGGGAAUGGCUCCCAUUAUCACGUGGUCACUUCUUGUGCAUUUGGCCUCUUGAUGUCGUCGGUCGUUGUCCGUUUCAUGUUGAUGAGCCGGGUUGCGUGGGACGCUGCGAUCAUACCUUUUGCUGUGUCGUCGUUCAGGCAUCCUGUCAUGUCCGUGGUCACGGCAGAUGCUGCGAUUGUAUCUCUUGGCAUGUCGCCGUUCUGGCGAUCCGCCGUGCCUGGUUUCAUGGCGAGAUCCUGAUCUAGAGGUUGCGUGAGUUCCGUUUUUUUUUCGGCAUUGUGCUUUUCUUUGGGUGUAACUCGGCCUUUGAGGUCUUGCACCCUGAGGCACAGCUCUUGGAUUAUCUGGACCGCCUUCUCUCCUAGGCCGUCGGGUGGCCGAGCUUCAGUGGGAGGACGGUUGUCCUAUCUUGAUUGUUGCUGGGUUGGGGUUGGUUGGCGAUGUGCCGCGCUUAUUAUCCUCCCUGGGUGGGAGGAGUGUUAUCUUGGAGUUCGGGAGUUGGGGUGUUGGGUGGAGGAUUGCUCCUCGAGGUUCUCCGUCAUGCCGCCACGAUUUGGCUGUCCCCCGCAUCUAUGCAAGAACCUUGAGAACUUUCUUGAUCUAUUAGCUCCUGAGAGGUCUGAGCUUGGCCAGGGUGGUAGCAUUUAAGGAGGUCGUUCAUGAUGAGCUUCCUUAUGAAUUUUCAGUAAGGUCCGAAGGGGGAUCAUGGCGACAGAUUUGUCAUAGGUGAGGCGGCGGAUGGCAGAGGUUUGGAACCUGGUGUUUGAAGGAGGUGACCUCGUGGGUUUGGAAGAAGAGCUUGAAGAGUUCAAAAGAAGAAGCAACAACGAUGGGCAUGGAGCCAAAAUAGAGGGAGAAGAUGGGGCCAUGGCGCUUGGAAGGACGAAUGAGGGGAGUGGUGAAUGAGAGGGCCCAAGAGGUGGAGGUGUCCCACUAAAGGGAGGUGAGACUUUGGGCUCGGAGGAUUUAGAAUUUCACCGUUGGAAUAGGGCGAGGGUGCAUAAAGAGUGUUAUCACUAAGAAGGUGAUUGCAAGUCGAAGAAACAUUGUUCCUUUGGGAUUUCGCCGUUGGAGUAGGACGAAGGUAUGUUAUCACUGCAAAUGUGAUGCAAGUUAAGGAAACAUUAUUCCUUUGGGAUUUCGCCAUUGGAGUUUCGCCAUUGGAGUUUCGCCGUUGGAAUAGGGCGAAGGUGUGUUAUCACUGCAAAGGUGAUGCAAGUUAAGGAAACAUUAUUCCUUUGGGAUUUUGCCAUUGGAGUUUCGCCGUUGGAAUAGGGCGAAGGUGUGUUAUCACUGCAAAGGUGAUGCAAGUUAAGGAAACAUUAUUCCUUUGGGAUUUUGCCGUUGGAGUAGGGCAAAUGUGUGUUAUCCUUGCAAAGAUGAUGCAAGUUAAGAAAAUAUUAUUCCUUUGGGAUUUCGCCGUUGGAGUAGGGCGAAGGUGUGUUAUCCCUGCAAAGAUGAUGCAAGUUAAGGAAACAUUAUUCCUUUUUGCUCUCAGCUACACCCAAGAAAUCUGAGUUUGAUGAUUGCUCUUCUGGGUUAUCCGCCAUGCUGCCACAAUGUUGCAAAGUCCCCACAGACGGCGCCAAUGUACAAGAUGUCUCUGGUACGGGUUGAGAGAUGAAUCGAGAACUUGUGGGUUGAGGCAGAUGCCGGAUCACUUGCCUGGAGCAAUGGGGGGCGGUACCUGCAAAGACACUCCGACGCUCAAGUCAGAAUGGAUCAAAGAGGUAGAAAGUGUGAGGAAUGAAUGAAUAUCUGGAGGGACCUGUGUCCUCUAUUUAUAGGUGAUGGUGAAUAUCU
rnacentral:lncRNA from 1 species